ACAAUUAAAAAGCCAAACGGGCCGCAUCUGGCCCGCGGGCCUUAGUUUGCCCAGACCUGGGUUAACCUAUACUGACAGACAGAAUAACAACAUACAGAUGAUACCCAGUCAUGUAUUGCUAAUUGGUUUUGUAGAGUAAAAAAAAAAAAAAUUUAGUGACCUAUUGUUGGGUUUUGACCAAAUGUUUGGGAUUCACUGCUCUAGGAAAGAGCCCUAGUUAAGAAAUCCCACUUCAAUAAAUGGCAGUCUCUUUUCAAGAGUUCCUCUCAUGAAGCUUGAUUGUUUAUUCUCCUCUUGUAAGUCGCUUUGGAUAGAAGUGUCUGCCAAACGCAUACAUUUAAAUGUGAUUAACCACUAAUCGUCACCGUCUGCUCCUCUGCAGUGGAAAACCUCCACCUCUGCUCAGUCACUCCUGCAGCCACGCCCCCUAAUCAGGACAACUGCUUCCACCUGCUCUUCUCAGCACUCGUUUCCUAACUGUGUCUCCUACUUCGACCUGACGUUUGACCUUCGUCUUGUCCCUGCCCUGGACUCACCUUAGGUCCAUCAGUUCCGGGGGUUCCAGGCAGACCUCUGGGUCCCUGAAGACCCUGAGUACCGGCAGGUCCUCUCUCUCCAGGGAAACCACGCUCUCCCUAAAAGAAGGUCCAACUUUCCCCUGAGGACCAGCGUCACCAGGGCUUCCGGUCAAACCCUACAGGAAAAGAAGGGUGAGAAACCAGAUCCAAAUGAGUCACCAGACUUGUCAGACACGUGCUGAAGAACCUCGGAAACAUAUGACAACCUGAGAAAUUAAAUUUGCACCUCGGAUGUGCAAGAAUUAACAACUCCCU